GGGUAGUUAAGUGUUGGAACUUUCUGCUCUCUGGAGAAUCCUUUCUGAACUGUGUUCAUUUUCCAGGAGAAAGUUCACAACCUCAGAGUCACCUUUUCUGCAGAAUGUGAGACAAGAAAAAAAAUGUCAUGAAAGGGUGAUCUACAGUGUCAAAUGCUGCAGAAAGGAAUACGCAGGAUAUCCUGGAAUUCCCAGAGAGAUGUCUGGUUUGUGGUUAACUAUCAUGGACCUUACUAUUUUGUGGAAGAAACACACUUAACCAGGGGGAAGGAUCCCCUAAAAGAGAAGAGUCUGAUCUUCUAAGGAAAGGAUCAGUACUAAGACGAAAUCGUCCCCCUUUAGAAAUUUGCAACUAUCAAAUAGGAUUGACCACCAAAAUUGUUGUAGAGCAAAGCAAUAAAUGACAUGGCAGGACCAUUAAAAUGCAUGAUUUUACAGUGUGUCAGGAAAGCUGUUCCUUGGAGCCUGGAUUCAUUAAGGCGCUCCUUGCAUAAAUGAGUUGCCAACCGGGGAUGUGGGUGGCUGUAAUGGCAGCAUGUAGGUUUGUAUGGAAAACAAGUAUGGCACUGUGAAAAAUUCUUUUGUCACACUCCACCCCCCCCCCCCACUAGAUACCUGUAUGGAGGGUUUGGGAGGAAUUAUCAUACAGCCUUUUUUUUCCCCCCAAGUGAAUAAAACUAAAACAUCCUUUGGAAGCAAAGGUGAGUUUGAAAAUCCACUCAAAGAAGAUGGAAAGAGGGAGGAAUGAAAUCACCUCAAGUGUAUGCAGCCUAACCAAGUGACAGACACGUAGACAACUCUGAUGCUGCCAGAAUUAACACUAUGUGCAGCCCACCAGUAAGCUAUUUGUCACUGCUACAAGAAUAUUCUCCACAACUUGGCAUCAGGGCCCCUGGGUAGCCAACUGUGCCUGCACAGCACAAGAAGUGCUAUCCUCUAAUGGGCUAGGAACGAAGCAAGGUUUUCCUUAUUAUUUCAAAAUGUGUUAUUGUAUGAAAAACAUAGUUUUUUGUCAUGAUAAACACAGGAAGAUACAGGGAAUUAGGUAUGGUUAAAAAAAACUGAGGGAGGGGGGAUGUGAGGAAAUGGGGAAAAUGUGCCUCUGAAGGUUGCUUCUUUCUUUCUUUCUUUUUUUGUGUGGUACCCUAUGUGUUUUGAAGAUUGAAGGAUGAUUACUCUCUGCAUCUGGUACUCCAUGGCACAGUGACAUGCAAUGUUUCAUAGAAAUAAUGAAUUUGUAGGUGCAAUAAUGAUUUGGGGAAAUUUGUUGGUAGCAGAUCUUCUCUAUCUGUUUUGUUUUAGACUUUACAUAUCACGUUUUAAGAUGCUGCUUAAAAAUCAUGUCACGGAAUAUAAACUCUAAUUCCUACAUUCCUUGUAAUAUUGUUAGGAAGAACAUAAAGUAAGAUAAGGGUAGGAUUUGGCUAAAAACUGCCAAAGAGAGAGCACUGGGUUUUCACCAUAGAUACAGGGUGACCUAAUAAUCCAUUAUAAAAAGUGCAGCAAAGGAUAGCAGCCAAGGACAUAGGAGAAAUGUAUGUGAUAAAUAAUCAAGGCCAAUUAAUUGGCAUCUUACUUUGCAGUUAAUGCCACAUUAAUUAAAAAAAAGUAGUAGACAUGGAAAUUGGUUCUUUUGUGUAUUUUGUACAAUCCCAAACACUCCAAAAUCCAGUUUAACACUCCUCCAGUUUGGUUCCCUUUGCAAUCAAAACCUACUGCAAAAUUAGAAUUUUGGGGGUGGUAUAUUUUGGGGGGCCAGCAGAUAGGGUAUGAUUAAAAGGGAGAAAGAAAUGACACCAAGAUACCCCUAGUUUUGCCUUUGUCACCAUCAGUUAAGGAUUCUCUUUACUAGUCAGACUUCACUUUGGUGCAGAAUUACAUGGAAUUUUAUUCCCAAUCCUAGAGUUUACCAGAAGCAAUAAUCUAUUGCCUCUUGUCUUGUUUGAGUUCCCCAAAACCCACUUGGACUAUGUGUUUAAUAGCGGCUCCAGAAACCGCUUUUCAAUGCCAGGCUGAUUUCCCUUUUUCUGGGGUGGUAUUUGUGCUCCAUUAAAUGCUCAAUAAUAGUGAUAACAAGAAUAACACAUGGUAUUUUAAUAGGCUGUAAAGAUCUUCAUUUAAGGAAUUUCAGCCUGAUAGAAAACACAGCAGAAGGUCCUGAAAUGGUCAGGCAAUGCCAGAACCAAAUUCCCUCAUAGAUGAGAUUCCUCCCAAUUGGGAUAGAAGAAAAAGACAUUUUUCCUCUUUCUUGUAUAAUCCAGUGAAGUGGACAGUAGCCAUGGUGCAAAGGAUGUAAUCUUCAGACAUACAGUGGUACAAGGGAAAGGAUGUUGAGUGCUGGAGCAAGAGUGUUGAUUCAAUAGUUAAGGGUUUAGUAGUAAGUAUACAGUGAAUUGGUAAGGCCUAAGAAUUAUGUCCUCUGAGGUAAAGCAAAUGAAGGAGGUGGAAAAUAACAGAACCAAAAAAAAAAAAAAAAGCUUGCAGAAAAGAGAAUGGUGGAGAGGGAAAAGAGGGAAAAAGUAAAAAUAUCUAGAGGGCACAAAAUGCUUUGGAGACCCGAAGGAAUACUAACCCCUACAUUUUCUAAGCUUUGCAUGGGGUGUUUUCCUUGCAACUCCCAUUAAAGUCAAUGGGAAUCAUGUGGCUAAAACCCUGUGUAACUCUUUGACAAUUUACUUCCUGGUGUCUGGAAAAGAGUAUUGCCUACUAAGGGCAAUUUACUCAUUUUAGUUUGUGCCUUCCAUACAAAGAUGAAGUUGAUAGCACAUAGCAGGAGGAAAAGAGAGACUACAUUUAAGAUUUUGUUAUUGCCAAAGAAAUCAUCAUUGAAAUAUGUCGCCUCAACUCUCACCUUGUUUAGCAACAACAAUAAACAGAGAAAAGCAAUCCAGUGAAAAGAAUAUGAAAAGAAGUGUAGACUUGAUUACAAGGGGGAAAAAAUGGUGAUUGCUAGCAUGUGAUUUUUUUUUUCCCAUUUUAAAUCCUCAAGCUCUGAACACAAUUGCAGGAUAAUAAGAAGACAGGACAAUUCUUAAGGCACUAAAUUGAAUCUCCUGAUUACUUCUUUUUCCCCCUAAUGCUACAAGUUGUACAUAUGCAAAUACAGCUAUAGUAUCCUUAAGAAAAUCUUUAUUAAUACAAUAUACAGAGGGAUUUAUUACAGCUUCCAGUGAUAGGUACAAAUAUAGAUGAUAUGACAGAUGUCUAUCCUGCAGUAAGCAAUAACUUUGCAUAAAUGCACCACAUCCUUUAUAUAAUGCUAUUUUUGAGAGCUAUGGAAUGUGCAUGUAAAAAAGUGCAUGCUAUUUCCAGAAGCUGUCAUAAACUUUGAAUCUAGCAAACACUGGCCUUGAGUUUUUACUGUUAGGCAUUGCAUCCUUCUAUCAACUGAAAGGCUUUAACUUUGGCAAUACUGUUAUCACUGUGCUUGAUAUGAAACAUGGGAAUAUUUAUGCAUAUAAAUGCAGUUAUAUGAUCAAUAGCUAUGCCUUCUAGAAAAUAUAGAUUUUCUCUACCAUAAUUUUGUUUUGUGGUGUCCC